rnacentral:rRNA from 1 species
GUGAGGAAUAUUGCGCAAUGGAGGCAACUCUGACGCAGCCAUGCCGCGUGCAGGAAGAAGGCGCUACGCGUUGUAAACUGCUUUUAACCGGGAAGAAACCCCAGGACGUGUCCUGGGUUGACGGUACCGGAGGAAUAAGCACCGGCUAACUUCGUGCCAGCAGCCGCGGUAAUACGAAGGGUGCAAGCGUUAUCCGGAUUCAUGGGGUUUAAAGGGUGCGUAGGCGGAGCGUUAAGUCAGUGGUGAAAUCCUGCAGCUUAACUGUAGACUUGCCAUUGAUACUGGCGCUCUUGAGUGCGCUUGAAGUGGGCGGAAUGUGCCGUGUAGCGGUGAAAUGCUUAGAUAUGGCACAGAACACCAAUUGCGAAGGCAGCUCACUAAGGCGAUACUGACGCUGAGGCACGAAAGCGUGGGGAUCGAACAGGAUUAGAUACCCCGGUAGUCC